GUUCACCAAGGCGACGAUGGCGUAAGCCGGACCCUGAGAGGGUGAACGGCCACACUGGGACUGAGACACGGCCCAGACUCCUACGGGGAGGGCAGCAGUAGGGAAUCUUUCCGCAAUGGACGAAAAGUCUGACGGAGCAACGCCGCCGUGAGUGAUGAAGGUUUUUCGGAUCGUAAAGCUCUGUUGCCAGGGGAAGAACGUCCGGUAGAGUAACUGCUAUCGGAGUGACGGGUACCUGAGAAGAAAGCCCCGGCUAACUACGUGCCAGCAGCCGCGGUAAUACGUAGGGGGCAAGCGUUGUCCGGAAUUAUUGGGCGUAAAGCGCGCGCAGGCGGUCACUUAAGUCUGGUGUUUAAGGCCAAGGCUCAACCUUGGUUCGCACUGGAAACUGGGUGACUUGAGUGCAGAAGAGGAGAGUGGAAUUCCACGUGUAGCGGUGAAAUGCGUAGAUAUGUGGAGGAACUCCAGUGGCGAAGGCGACUCUCUGGGCUGUAACUGACGCUGAGGCGCGAAA
rnacentral:rRNA from 1 species